CACCCAGGUUUGACAUGCAUGUGGUACCAAGGUGAAAGACUGAGGGACCCUUCCGGGGAGCAUGCACAGGUGUUGCACGGCCGUCGUCAGCUCGUGCCGUGAGGUGUUGGGUUAAGUCCCGCAACGAGCGCAACCCCUGUCGCCAGUUGUAUUUUUCUGGCGAGACUGCCGAGAAAACCUCGGAGGAAGGAGGGGACGAUGUCAGGUCAGCGUGGCCCUUACGCCUGGGGCUACACACACGCUACAAUGGGCAGUACAACGGGUCGCGAAGCCGCGAGGUGGAGCUAAUCCCAUCAAAGCUGUCCUCAGUUCGGAUUGCAGGCUGAAACCCGCCUGCAUGAAGCCGGAGUUGCUAGUAACCGCAGGUCAGCAUUACUGCGGUGAAUACGUUCCCGGGCCUU
rnacentral:rRNA from 1 species